rnacentral:rRNA from 1 species
GCGGCAGCUUACCAUGCAGUCGAACGGUAGCAGGAAGAAAGCUUGCUUUCUUUGCUGACGAGUGGCGGACGGGUGAGUAAUGCUUGGGAAUCUGGCUUAUGGAGGGGGAUAACUGUGGGAAACUGCAGCUAAUACCGCGUAUUCUCUGAGGAGGAAAGGGUGGGACCUUAGGGCCACCUGCCAUAAGAUGAGCCCAAGUGGGAUUAGGUAGUUGGUGGGGUAAAGGCCUACCAAGCCUGCGAUCUCUAGCUGGUCUGAGAGGAUGACCAGCCACACUGGAACUGAGACACGGUCCAGACUCCUACGGGAGGCAGCAGUGGGGAAUAUUGCGCAAUGGGGGGAACCCUGACGCAGCCAUGCCGCGUGAAUGAAGAAGGCCUUCGGGUUGUAAAGUUCUUUCGGUAAUGAGGAAGGGAUGUUGUUAAAUAGAUAGCAUCAUUGACGUUAAUUACAGAAGAAGCACCGGCUAACUCCGUGCCAGCAGCCGCGGUAAUACGGAGGGUGCGAGCGUUAAUCGGAAUAACUGGGCGUAAAGGGCACGCAGGCGGACUUUUAAGUGAGAUGUGAAAUCCCCGAGCUUAACUUGGGAACUGCAUUUCAGACUGGGAGUCUAGAGUACUUUAGGGAGGGGUAGAAUUCCACGUGUAGCGGUGAAAUGCGUAGAGAUGUGGAGGAAUACCGAAGGCGAAGGCAGCCCCUUGGGAAUGUACUGACGCUCAUGUGCGAAAGCGUGGGGAGCAAACAGGAUUAGAUACCCUGGUAGUCCACGCUGUAAACGCUGUCGAUUUGGGGAUUGGGCUAUAUGCUUGGUGCCCGAAGCUAACGUGAUAAAUCGACCGCCUGGGGAGUACGGCCGCAAGGUUAAAACUCAAAUGAAUUGACGGGGGCCCGCACAAGCGGUGGAGCAUGUGGUUUAUUUCGAUGCAACGCGAAGAACCUUACCCUACUCUUG